AAGGUCAUGAUCUACAAUGGCAUUGGUUCUCAAAGUGGGGUCCGGGGACUCCCAGGGGUCCGCAGCACAUUGUCAGGGGGUCCCUGACAAAGUUUGCUAC